CAUGUUAACCACCAAGAACAUUAUUCAGGCGAAACUAUGAAGAUGAAUGCUUCUCCAAGCUUAGUGAUCGUGAUAUUCCUAAUGCUUGGGGUGAGAGGGUUCCAGGUGGAGCAGAGUCCUUCGGUCCUGAGUCUCCAAGAAGGAACUGGUUCUACUCUGCGGUGUAAUUUUUCUGCCGCUAUAAAGUACGUGCAGUGGUUCCGACAGAAUCCUGGGGGCAGCCUCAUCAAUCUGUUUUUCGUGGCUUCAGGGGCGAAACAGAAUGGGAGGGUAGAGGCAACAGUUAAUUCUAAGGACCUCUAUAGCACCCUUCACAUCACGGCCUCCCACCUGGAAGACUCAGGCACCUACCUGUGUGCAGCAGAGGCACAGUGCCCCCAGGUCACCUGCAGGCUGAGCUCAAACUGCAGCCGGGCCCCUGCCACAGGGAAGACUGCACAGCAGCAGUUGCUCAGCUUUGAGCUUUCAGUGAUAUCUAAUAAGGGGACAGGACAUGUGCAUGAGCAGAGAAGAUCCUCAGGUCAGCAGGACUCAGAUCAGAACCCGAGGCUCAGGAUCAAGGACACGGCGGGCCUUGUGUGA